rnacentral:lncRNA from 1 species
CCCGCUUCCCCCCGACCCUGCCAUCAUCCUUCUGCUAAAGCACUUUCUCAAUGCAAUGUAGUCAUUUGAUUUCUUCUCUGCCACCCUGUCUUGCAAUCGGAGGUCAGGGAGGGAAAGAUUGUUUCUUAUUCAUCUUGAAAGCACAGUGCCUGAUAAAUAUCUCAUCAAUUCAGGAUUGAAUGAUAGACUAAAUGUAUGAAUGGGAAGCAGGAGCCACACAUUUAUUUGCUUCAGUGUUUAUUAGAAAAUGACCAUCUUACAGGUUGUUGUUAUUCCACAAUUUAGGAAUUUGUAGGUAUUUAAAGUAUACAGUGGAAUGGGAAUGUGAGAGAAUUCUAGGUUCCUGCUAAAUGUCAUCCCUUCUCUACUCCAGGAUUCUGCUGAAUCUCAUGCAUAUGUAUGGCAAGAUCUUCUUUCUUCCCUUGUUCAGACAUAUUCUGAUUUAAACUUAUUACAUCAGGUCCUUGGACUACAGAGAACUCACGCUCUGGCUGCAAAUUGUUUGCCUCAAAGAGACAUAAAUAACCACAACUGCCACAAAAUAAAGCAGCCUUGCCUGAAUAGAAAUGUGCACUCAACCAGAGCUUCGAGGUGUUCGGAAGCAAGCUGACCAAAGUUUUGGAGGUUGGAUGGGUCUUUUGGUGACAUGAGUUGUAUAACAAUAACAACUUACAAUACUUUAACAUGUUAAGACAUUUUUAGUUGGGACAAAUGGAAUCAACAAAAAGAGAUGCAGCUAUAAACCAAACACUACUGCUGUAUUUUCUCCUUUUGCAAAAAAAAAAUUAUUUAUGAGGAAACAUAGCUGAGUUUUCACAUGUGUAGAUUAGGUCAAUGGGUGAUUAGAAUUUAGAGCAUAAAAG